UACUUGUUUGAUUGGAACGUAGAGAGAUAUGUAUGGUGUUUAUGUGGAGUCAUAGUUUCUCUUCUGUGUUGAAUUGAUCUUUGAUUUUACUUAGCAUAUGAGCAUCUGACUUUUUCUGCUGAUCUUAUUGAAUGUUAAAGCUUUAACUUGUUUGAACCUUGAAACGUUGUGAGCUGUGUUUAAAAUGGCGCUCGCCUUUUGCGCCAUGGCGCAAGGCGCACUCAGGCGAUGGCUCUGUCGCCAUGUACCACCUAGGCGAGGGUGGGUUCCCUAAGGCGCGCGCCAUGGGUGCCUUGUCGAGAAGGCGAGCAUGGCAAAGGCGAGCGUAAGGCGAGAUUAAUGUAAACCGUAUCUAAACCAUAUAAGCCUUAAUUAAUAAUUAAACCUUAGACUUUUUUGCUCAAAAAAAAAAAAAAUUAAACCUUAGACUUUAAAAAAACUUAACCGGGGAAACUUAAACGCCAAACCCUAGCUUUAUAAAAGAGAAGUUACGUAAAACAUAGAUCUAGAUCUCAAGGUUUUUUGCUUAAGGUUAGAACUCUCUAGUAUAAUAAAGCUUGCAUCUUAUUUAAAUUUAGUAUAUCAAUCAUUGCAUAAGUGUUCUCUAAGUUUCUUCUCCAAUACAAAACAAAACAAGACGUAACUAAAAUGACGUAACUAAAAUUUUCUUCAAGGCGAGCGCCAUAUUGCGCCAUGGCGCGAGGCGCAAGGCUCGGCACGUCUCGCCUUGGUGCGCCAUGCGCCAUUUUAAACACAGGUUGUGAGAAUAUAAAGGAGAGAACUUUGAUGUUUCAUCUUGAUGUAUUAGUUCUUUUGCAAGGUUUUGUUCUUUUAUGAUCUCAGUUUUAGUUCUAUUUUGCUCGGUCUCUACAAGAAAAUAAAAUGGUGAUGUGAAGCUUUGUUUAUCUUUGCAGGAUGUUGAAGUACUGAUGCAUGCCAAGACGAGAGAAUUUGAUCAUUAUAAGGGAUGGAGCUUGUUAAAUGAUGAGACAUAACAAACGUGGUGGGAGGGUUAAGUUACAGCCUAUGGUGAUGCCAAAACCCGUCUCCGUUGCGUUUGGCAGGUAACUCUCUCCUUCUCCAUCUUCUAGGGUUUAUGGGGUUGGCUGACGUCCAGCUCCUCUUUUCGGCUCUGAUCGAUUCUAUGUACAAGAAUCUCCAGUUUUUUAGGACAAGGAUGGAUUAGAACUGUGUUCUUUGUUUUUUCUUGUUGAAAUGUUCAUGGGUUGAGUUUCAUUGCAAACUGGUUAUAAAUUUUGCUUAGUUUGUAUGAUUCCUCAGGUUUUGAUUAGUUGUAGUGACUUUUGUUGAUG